rnacentral:rRNA from 1 species
GACGAACGCUGGCGGCGUGCCUAAUACAUGCAAGUAGAACGCAGUUGCGAACGGGUGAGUAACGCGUAGGUAACUGCCUGGUAGCGGGGGAUAACUAUUGGAAACGAUAGCUAAUACCGCAUACUACCAGAUGGACCUGCGUUGUAUUAGCUAGUUGGUGGGGUAACGGCUCCCCAAGGCAACGGUACAUAGCCGAGCUGGGGGGGUGAUCGGCCAAAACGGGACGUAGGCACGGGCCAGACUCCUGCGGGAGGCAGCAGUAGGGAAUGUUCGGCAAUGGGGGGAAACCUGACCGAGCAAAGACGGGUGAGUGAAGAAGGUUUUCGGGUCGUAAAGCUAUGUUGUUAAGGAAGCGGUACUUAACCAGAAAGGGACGGCUAACUACGUGCCAGCCGCCGCGGUAAUAC